UACAGAGGGGACUAGCGUUGUUCGGAAUUACUGGGCGUAAAGCGCACGUAGGCGGCUUUCUAAGUCGGGGGUGAAAUCCUGGAGCUCAACUCCAGAACUGCCUUCGAUACUGGAGAGCUCGAGUCCGGGAGAGGUGAGUGGAACUGCGAGUGUAGAGGUGAAAUUCGUAGAUAUUCGCAAGAACACCAGUGGCGAAGGCGGCUCACUGGUCCGGUACUGACGCUGAGGUGCGAAAGCGUGGGGAGCAAACAGG
rnacentral:rRNA from 1 species